UUGAUCCUGGCUCAGAACGAACGUUGGCGGCGUGGAUUAGGCAUGCAAGUCGAACGAAGCUAGGUUUCUCACCUUGUUCUCUCGGAAGAGAGGGUGAGGUGAGAAGCCUAGACUGAGUGGCGAAAGGGGCAGUAAGGCGUGGGUAACCUACCCUGGGGAUGGGCAUAGCCGUUCUAACGGACGGGUAAUUCCCAGCGAGGCGGAGAGAGGGCAUCCUUUUUCCGUGAAACGAGUUUCGCCUCGGGAGGGGCUCACGUGGUAUUAGCUUGUUGGUGGGGUAAUGGCCUACCAAGGCGAAGAUGCCUAGCUGGUGUGAGAGCACGACCAGCGCCACUGGCACUGAGACACUGGCCAGACUCCUACGGGAGGCUGCAGUCGAGAAUCUUCCGCAAUGGGCGAAAGCCUGACGGAGCGACGCCGCGUGCGCGAUGAAGGCCUUCGGGUUGUAAAGCGCUGUCGAGGGGGAGUAAAGGGCAACCUUGAACUAUCCCUGGAGGAAGCACGGGCUAAGUUCGUGCCAGCAGCCGCGGUAAGACGAACCGUGCGAACGUUGUUCGGAAUCACUGGGCUUAAAGGGCGCGUAGGCGGGCUGUCAAGUCCGGGGUGAAAUCUUUCGGCUUAACCGGAAAAGUGCCCCGGAUACUGACAGUCUUGAGGGAGGUAGGGGCAUGUGGAACUUCCGGUGGAGCGGUGAAAUGCGUUGAUAUCGGAAGGAACGCCGGUGGCGAAAGCGACAUGCUGGCCCUCUUCU
rnacentral:rRNA from 1 species